UUCUGAUCAGGUUCAGCCACACCAUUUCAGAAAAGACUUUUGCACUUUUUAUUGACCGCCAUGCACGUGCCAAGCACAACUACCUUUAUUCUCUGCAGAAAACAACAGAGAAGGAUCCAAUGCAUAAAUUCACACGAGAUGAUAAAUUCAUGCCAAGUGACGAGAAAGAGAAAGAUCGGAGUACUGCAGGUCGCCGAGGUCUCCUACCUCAGGAGAACCAGCGCCAAAGCCCAAAGUAUGAAAGAACGACAAAGAGAGGAUUCAUUUCAGACAAAGAACACGAUUCAUCAUAUUUAAUAGUUGUAAUUUGAAUUUUAUUGGAUCUGCAGUGAUGUCUGUAUUUAAUUUCUAAUUUGUUUUGGUUUCAUAAUUGGCUUAAACAAUAAGCACAAAAUUUUAUAUCUGAUUUUACGUUUAUGUAUAUUAACAUUUUAAUAAAAAUAAUUUAUAUUCUCA
rnacentral:lncRNA from 1 species